UACGGGGGGGGCAAGCGUUGGUCGGAAUUACUGGGCGGAAAGGGCUCGUAGGCGGCCAACUAAGUCCGACGUGAAAUCCCCAGGCUUAACCUGGGAACUGCGUCGGAUACUGGAUGGCUUGAAUUCGGGAGAGGGAUGCAGAAUUCCAGGUGUAGCGGUGAAAUGCGUAGAUAUCUGGAGGAAUACCGGUGGCGAAGGCGGCAUCCUGGACCGACAUUGACGCUGAUGAGCGAAAGCUAGGGGAGCAAACGGG
rnacentral:rRNA from 1 species